GCAGUAGGACGCACAGUUUAUACCGUAGCUUGCUACACCAUAGACUGUGAGUUGCGAACGGGUGAGUAACGCGUAGGUAACCUGCCUAUUAGAGGGGGAUAACUAUUGGAAACGAUAGCUAAUACCGCAUAACAGUAUGUAACACAUGUUAGAUGCUUGAAAGAUGCAAUUGCAUCGCUAGUAGAUGGACCUGCGUUGUAUUAGCUAGUAGGUAGGGUAAAGGCCUACCUAGGCAACGAUACAUAGCCGACCUGAGAGGGUGAUCGGCCACACUGGGACUGAGACACGGCCCAGACUCCUACGGGAGGCAGCAGUAGGGAAUCUUCGGCAAUGGGGGGAACCCUGACCGAGCAACGCCGCGUGAGUGAAGAAGGUUUUCGGAUCGUAAAGCUCUGUUGUUAAGGAAGAACGAGUGUGAGAAUGGAAAGUUCAUGCUGUGACGGUACUUAACCAGAAAGGGACGGCUAACUACGUGCCAGCAGCCGCGGUAAUACGUAGGUCCCGAGCGUUGUCCGGAUUUAUUGGGCGUAAAGCGAGCGCAGGCGGUUAGAAAAGUCUGAAGUGAAAGGCAGU
rnacentral:rRNA from 1 species